rnacentral:rRNA from 1 species
GCGAAUGGCUCAUUAAAUCAGCUAUGGUUUAUUGGAUCAUACCCGUUAAAUGGAUAACUGUAAUAACUCUAGAGCUAAUACAUGCCACAAUGCCCUGACCCGUUCAACCGGGGAUGGGUGCACUUAUUAGAUCAGAAGCCAACCGUGCAUGGCCGCAAGGCUAUGCAUGUUGACCUUCUGGUGACUCUGGAUAAUUGUUACAGAUCGCAGUCGGCUUUGAGCCGGCGACGGGUCCUUCAAAUGUCUGCCCUAUCAACUUUCGAUGGUAGGUGACCUGCCUACCAUGGUGAUAACGGGUAACGGGGAAUCAGGGUUCGAUUCCGGAGAGGGAGCCUGAGAAACGGCUACCACUUCCAAGGGAGGCAGCAGGCGCGCAAAUUACCCACUCCCGGUACGGGGAGGUGGUGACGAAAAAUACCGAUGCGGGACUCUCAACGAGGCUCCGUAAUCGGAAUGAGUGAACUUUAAAUCCUUUCACGAGGAUCAAUUGGAGGGCAAGUCUGGUGCCAGCAGCCGCGGUAACUCCAGCUCCAAUAGCGUAUAUUAAAGUUGCUGCAGUUAAAAAGCUCGUAGUUGGAUCUCGGUACCACUGUUGCUCGUCAGUCCUUUGGCAGGUGGUUGUGCAGCACGCAUGGGUACGUAUUGUGCGGCCUGUGUUGCUGCUAUGGCUGCUCUGCCCGAGUUGGCGGUGUGACGGUGUCGCCUUUCAGCCAUGUCUGUGGUGAAAUACCCUCAGGUGUAGGCGAGUGUCGGAUGGUGCCCAGCAUUAGUUGGGUCCGUCGGCUCGUCUGCAUGCCUUUAGAUGCCCUUCAAAAGGUGUCUGUGGGCGGAUGGCACGUUUACUUUGAACAAAUUUGAGUGCUCAAACCAGGCCGAUGUUGCCUGAAAAGUUUUGCAUGGAAUAAUGGAAUAGGACUUCGGUUCUAUUUCGUUGGUUUUCGGAUCCGAAGUAAUGAUCAAAAGAGACAGGCGGGGACGUUUGUAUGGCUGCGCUAGAGGUGAAAUUCAUGGACCGUAGCCAGACAAACUAAAGCGAAAGCAUUCGUCAAGCAUGUUUUCAUUGGCCAUGAGCGAAAGUCAGAGGCUCGAAGACGAUCAGAUACCGUCCUAGUUCUGACCAUAAACGAUGCCAACUGACGAUCCGUGGUGGUAGUUCAUCAACCUUCCCCACGGGCAGUCCCCGGGAAACCUUUAAGUCUUUGGGUUCCGGGGGAAGUAUGGUUGCAAAGCUGAAACUUAAAGGAAUUGACGGAAGGGCACCACCAGGAGUGGAGCCUGCGGCUUAAUUUGACUCAACACGGGAAAACUCACCCGGCCCGGACACUAUGAGGAUUGACAGAUUGAAAGCUCUUUCUUGAUUUGGUGGUUGGUGGUGCAUGGCCGUUCUUAGUUGGUGGAGCGAUUUGUCUGGUUAAUUCCGAUAACGAACGAGACUCCUGCCUGCUAAUUAGUGCGCCUGUCAACUGUACUUGUGUAGGCGGUGUUCGGCGAGGCUGCCCUCGUAAGCUGCCUAGAGUUGUGCGGUGGCGUGGUGGGCUCUCUCUUGUGCCGUUGCUCCUCUCUCACGGGGGGCGCGCGCGCGUGUGGGGGCUUGCCUUGUCACACUGCCUCUCUUAAGUGGUGAGGACGGCUGGUUCGGCGCUAGCUUCCGGGUGCGGCGCGGGUGUUUACUUCUUAGAGGGACAAGCGGGAGAAGCCGCACGAAAUGGAGCAAUAACAGGUCUGUGAUGCCCUUAGAUGUCCGGGGCCGCACGCGCGCUACAAUGACGGUGGCAAUGAGUCUGACCUUCUGGCCCGAAAGGGUUGGGCAAACUGGUCAAUCACCGUCAUGACAGGGAUCGGGGCUUGGAAUUGUUCCCCGUGAACGAGGAAUUCCUAGUAAGUGCAAGUCAUAAGCUUGCGCUGAUUACGUCCCUGCCCUUUGUACACACCGCCCGUCGCUACUACCGAUUGAAUGGUUUAGUAAGGUCCUUGGAUUGGCGCCAUUGUGGCGGUUGCCGAAAGGUGGCUUCCCGACAGGCGCUGAGAAGACGACCAAACUUGAUCAUUUAGAGGAAGUAAAAGUCGUAACAAG